rnacentral:sRNA from 1 species
CGAAUAUGGAACGACCAUCAACAAGCGA